AUGACCUGUAUAUGCUACACAACUAACAUUAAAUGGCUCCAAUGUCUUUCAGAUUUCACAGAUGCAGCACACAGCAGUGACCAUUAGUUAUGUCACUAUGAAUUACUCACCAGAGCAUUGCCGUGGACCAUGUAAAGAUGUGUCCUUCUCUUUACAACUCAUUAGUGCGGUCAUAAACAGCCUUGCCACGAAUUUAAGGUCUUGUAUGGUAUAAAUCAGCCGGAGCAUGAAGCUGAUCACUCACUUCCAUCCAUUGCUGAGAUAGGGUGGAUUGAGUGUUACACCCCUUCUUCUAGGCAACAUGGAGUUUUCCUCCGGGGGCUUCCCCAGUUUCUCU